rnacentral:tRNA from 1 species
GGGGUUGUGGCUCAGGGGCAGAGCGCUCGCCUUGCAUGCAUGGGGCACUGGGUUUGAUCCUCAGCACCUCA